rnacentral:rRNA from 1 species
AUUGAACGCUGGCGGCAGGCCUAACACAUGCAAGUCGAGCGGAGUGGCGGACGGGUGAGUAAUGCCUAGGAAUCUGCCUGGUAGCGGGGGAUAACGUCCGGAAACGGGCGCUAAUAGCGCAUACUAUCAGAUGAGACUAUGUCGGAUUAGCUAGUUGGUGGGGUAAAGGCCUACCAAGGCGACGAUCCUUAACUGGUCUGAGGGGGUGAUGAGUCAAACUGGAACGGAGACACGGUCCAAAUUCCAACGGGAGGCAGCAGUGGGGAAUAUUGGACAAUGGGCGAAGGCCUGAUCCAGCCAUGCCGCGUGUGUAAAGAGGGUCUUCGGAUUGAAAGGCACUUUAAGUUGGGAGGCGUUACCAACAUAGUAAGCACCGGCUAACUUCGUGCCAGCAGCCGCGGUAAUUC